GCUGGACAACGCUCAGUCCACUGCCUAGCAGGUGGUUUAUUCCAGUUGGAAAACUGAGUGAGUCUUCCAGUGAAGCCAGGGUCUGGUUCUCCGUGACGAUGUCCUCCCAGCAGAGCGGCAAAGGAUUUCGCAACAGCUCUUCGCAGGGCCCCUCUUCGUGCCCCGCGCCGGCGCCCACCCCUGCGCCCUCUCCCCCGUCCUCCUGCUGCGACUCUGGCUGCUGCGGGGACUGCGGCUGCUGCGGCUGCUGCGGCUCCAGCUCCGUCGCCUGCUGCUGCUUUCCCAGGAGGCGCCGCCGGCAGGGCAGGCGCGGCUGCUGCGGCGGCAGCCAGAGGUCUCAGUGCUCGAGCUCCGGCUGCUGCAGUGGAUGCUGAGGCCACGGUGGGCUGCCCCGCACCUGCUCACGAGCUGCUCGCACCCUGCGCCCCUGCCCCUCCAUGCCCUGCUCCCCUGCGGGGCGGGGCCUCAGAGCCUGCCACCGUUAAAGCCAAGUGCUCUUCGGAUGUUCGGACACCCGCCCCGUACUCAGCCCCACAAAACUCCCCGACCUCCCCCCCCCCCACCGUGUGCUUUUUCUCCUUGGGAACCCGAAAGCCGUGGGUGGGACACUGGACUCUACUGUCUGCAGGGGCUUGCAUACAUAGGUGCUCAAUAAAUGCCUACUGAUUUGAUUGUCUCUUGAAGACAUGUCAUAAUAAAGCUUCUACCUCCUGAGAA